CUUAGAUCUGGGUAUGGGUAUAGAUAUACAUAGAGAUGUAUGAAAUCAGUUAUGUAAAUUGUGAAAUAUAAUCACAAUUCUCUUUUUUCAAUUACUACAAAUAUCUAAAAUUACAUGUUUGGCAGUGUUUGUAGCCACACUGAUGGAGCUGGAAGGAGCUGGGAGUUUUCUGAAGCAAGUGGCAUCAUCAGCGAAGAAGAAAUCCUCAGAGCAUCUGAAACCGGAGCUAACACUUCACAUUCCUUUAUAAAUUGCUACAGACUAUGAGUUUGAACUUAUGCUAGUAAGCCUUUUUUUUCCCCCCUUUAAUCAGGAAAGGGCGGCUCUCUGCUUUAGUGCUUAUUUUUCCUCCUGGAGUAGACGCUAGCCAAAUCCCCUGUUUUACGCAUUAACUGUGGCCAAAAUCGCGUAUUAGAUUUAUUGUGUUGGGAAGGAGAAGCCAAGUCUGAAACCUGUCUUUGGCAGUUGCAGUGCUUACUGAAAGGAUACAUUUGGCUGAACAGAGCAAAUCAGCAAACCAGGUUUGCCCUUUAGGU
rnacentral:lncRNA from 1 species